rnacentral:rRNA from 1 species
CCUACGGGUGGCAGCAGUGGGGAAUAUUGGACAAUGGGCGAAAGCCUGAUCCAGCCAUGCCGCGUGUGUGAAGAAGGCCUUCGGGUUGUAAAGCACUUUCAGUGGGGAAGAAAGCCUUGGGGCUAAUACCCUCGAGGAAGGACAUCGCCCACAGAAGAAGCACCGGCUAACUCCGUGCCAGCAGCCGCGGUAAUACGGAGGGUGCGAGCGUUAAUCGGAAUUACUGGGCGUAAAGCGCGCGUAGGCGGUCUGAUAAGCCGGUUGUGAAAGCCCCGGGCUCAACCUGGGAACGGCAUCCGGAACUGUCAGGCUAGAGUGCAGGAGAGGAAGGUAGAAUUCCCGGUGUAGCGGUGAAAUGCGUAGAGAUCGGGAGGAAUACCAGUGGCGAAGGCGGCCUUCUGGACUGACACUGACGCUGAGGUGCGAAAGCGUGGGUAGCAAACAGGAUUAGAUACCCUGGUAGUC